GAGGUAACGGCUCACCAAGGCGAUGAUGCGUAGCCGGCCUGAGAGGGUAAACGGCCACAUUGGGACUGAGACACGGCCCAAACUCCUACGGGAGGCAGCAGUAGGGAAUUUUCGUCAAUGGGGGAAACCCUGAACGAGCAAUGCCGCGUGAGUGAAGAAGGUCUUCGGAUCGUAAAGCUCUGUUGUAAGUGAAGAACGGAUCAUAGAGGAAAUGCUAUGGGAGUGACGGUAGCUUACCAGAAAGCCACGGCUAACUACGUGCCAGCAGCCGCGGUAAUACGUAGGUGGCAAGCGUUAUCCGGAAUCAUUGGGCGUAAAGGGUGCGUAGGUGGCGUACUAAGUCUGUAGUAAAAGGCAAUGGCUCAACCAUUGUAAGCUAUGGAAACUGGUAUGCUGGAGUGCAGAAGAGGGCGAUGGAAUUCCAUGUGUAGCGGUAAAAUGCGUAGAUAUAUGGAGGAACACCAGUGGCGAAGGCGGUCGCCUGGUCUGUAACUGACACUGAGGCACGAAAGCGUGGGGAGCAAAUAGGAUUAGAUACCCUAGUAGUCCACGCCGUAAACGAUGAGAACUAAGUGUUGGAGGAAUUCAGUGCUGCAGUUAACGCAAUAAGUUCUCCGCCUGGGGAGUAUGCACGCAAGUGUGAAACUCAAAGGAAUUGACGGGGGCCCGCACAAGCGGUGGAGUAUGUGGUUUAAUUCGAAGCAACGCGAAGAACCUUACCAGGCCUUGACAUGGAAACAAAUACCCUAGAGAUAGGGGGAUAAUUAUGGAUCACACAGGUGGUGCAUGGUUGUCGUCAGCUCGUGUCGUGAGAUGUUGGGUUAAGUCCCGCAACGAGCGCAACCCUUGUCGCAUGUUACCAGCAUCAAGUUGGGGACUCAUGCGAGACUGCCGGUGACAAACCGGAGGAAGGUGGGGAUGACGUCAAAUCAUCAUGCCCCUUAUGGCCUGGGCUACACACGUACUACAAUGGCGGCCACAAAGAGCAGCGACACAGUGAUGUGAAGCGAAUCUCAUAAAGGUCGUCUCAGUUCGGAUUGAAGUCUGCAACUCGACUUCAUGAAGUCGGAAUCGCUAGUAAUCGCAGAUCAGCAUGCUGCGGUGAAUACGUUCUCGGGCCUUGUACACACCGCCCGUCAAACCAUGGGAGUCAGUAAUACCCGAAGCCGGUGGCAUAACCGUAAGGAGUGAGCCGUCGAAGGUAGGACCGAUGACUGGGGUUAAGUCGUAACAAGGUAUCCCUACGGGAACGUGGGGAUGGAUCACCU
rnacentral:rRNA from 1 species